AGGGCGCACGGUGGAUGCCUUGGCACUAGAAGCCGAUGAAGGACGUUACUAACGACGAUAUGCUUUGGGGAGCUGUAAGUAAGCUUUGAUCCAGAGAUUUCCGAAUGGGGAAACCCAGCAUGAGUUAUGUCAUGUUAUCGAUAUGUGAAUACAUAGCAUAUCAGAAGGCACACCCGGAGAACUGAAACAUCUUAGUACCCGGAGGAAGAGAAAGAAAAUUCGAUUCCCUUAGUAGCGGCGAGCGAAACGGGAAGAGCCCAAACCAACAAGCUUGCUUGUUGGGGUUGUAGGACACUCUGUACGGAGUUACAAAGGACGACAUYAGACGAAUCAUCUGGAAAGAUGAAUCAAAGAAGGUAAUAAUCCUGUAGUCGAAAAUGUUGUCUCUCUUGAGUGGAUCCUGAGUACGACGGAGCACGUGAAAUUCCGUCGGAAUCUGGGAGGACCAUCUCCUAAGGCUAAAUACUCUCUAGUGACCGAUAGUGAACCAGUACCGUGAGGGAAAGGUGAAAAGCACCCCGGAAGGGGAGUGAAAUAGAACCUGAAACCGUGUGCUUACAAGUAGUCAGAGCCCGUUAAUGGGUGAUGGCGUGCCUUUUGUAGAAUGAACCGGCGAGUUACGG
rnacentral:rRNA from 1 species